rnacentral:tRNA from 1 species
GGAGAGGUCGCAUAGUGGUCUAGUGCGGCACGGUGCUAACGUGCUGAUCUCGAAAGGGAUCCGUGGGUUCAAAUCCCACCCUCUCCG